UACAGAGACUGCAAGCGUUAUUCGGAUUCACUGGGCGUAAAGGGUGCGCAGGCGGCCGAGUGUGUGAGGCGUGAAAGCCCGGGGCUUAACCCCGGAAUUGCACCUCAAACUACACGGCUAGAGCAUUGGAGAGGGUAGCAGAAUUCAUGGUGUAGCAGUGAAAUGCGUAGAUAUCUGGAGGAACACCGGUGGCGAAGGCGGCGUCCUGGACCAACACUGACACUGAUGAGCGAAAGCCAGGGGAGCAAACGGG
rnacentral:rRNA from 1 species